UCGGACGAAGCGUCGAGGGACCAAUGACAUGUCGGACAACUUGGUUAAUUGCUUAGGAUUAAUUGUCUCGAUCGAAGUUUUGUUUUGUUGUGCAGGAUUAACUACGAUAAGAGUAAGACAAGCAGCCAGGAGUUGCGCCGGAGUCAAGAUCAUGAUCACGUUGGGAGUUCGAGAGUUCGACGGAAGUUCGGACGGUCGUCGGAGGUUCAGAGAGAACAGAUCCGAGAAGUCCAGAAGCUUGCCAAGCGAAGCUCGUCGGAACUCGCCAAGUGGAUCGUCGCAAAGUCCAGGAGUAUGCCGGAUGUCCGCAGAAGGAUCACCGAAGGUUAUCGGUUGAUCGACGGAAGUUGGCCGGAAACUCGCCGGAAGAAGCGAUUGACGCAUCGGAGCAAAGCUGCAGAAGUUGUCUUAGAGAUAUUCGUAGUUAGCACGAUGAUUAAGCAUGAAAAUGGGAGGUGAUCCCAUUAGCUUAAUCUUGGGGCAAUUGGGCCCCUGAAAAGAUUCAAAGUGGGUCGAAUGGAGUGAACCAUUCGGACCCUGAUUGCACCAGGAGGUGCAACCGCCCCAGCCAGGAGGUGCAACCGCCUGGGCUGUGGGGUUGAGAGGUGCAACCGCCCCAGCCAGGAGGUGCAACCGCCAGGGUUGCAAGGCUGGGAGGUGCAACCGCCCCAGCCAGGAGGUGCAACCGCCAGGGUUGCAAGGCUGGGAGGUGCAACCGCUCCAGCCAAGAGGUUGCACCGCCAGAGCUCAAGUUCCGAGCUCUGCCAGGCGAUGCAACCACCGAGCUCAGUCUUCGAGCUCUGGCAGAGUGGUGCAUCAGCCUGAGCUCAGUCUCGAGCUUUGCCAGGUGAUGCAUUCACCAAGCUCAGUCUUCGAGCUCUGGCAGAAUGGUGCAUCAGCUUGAGCUCAGUUUGGAGCUCUGCCAAGUGAUGCAACCACCAAGCUCAGUCUUCGAGCUCUGCCAGGCGAUGCAACCAUCGAGCUCAGUCUUCGAGCUCUGGCAGAGAGAAGCAAUCGGCAGAGCUCAGUCUUCGAGCUCUGCCAGGCGGUGCCACCUCUCCAGUCGAGAGGUGCAACCGCCUGAUCCCAGAAUUCUGGGAUUUGAUCGAUUUGAUCGUUUUGAGCUCGAAUUUUGAAUUGGGUUGGGGCCUAUAAAUACCCCACCCAUUCAGCACUGAAAAGAUAACAGACCAAUACCGAAAUAUUGAUCUUUUCUGUGAUUCUAAGAGCUCAAAAGUGUUGUAAAGUCUUUAAGUCUCCUCCUUCUGUUCUUCAAGUUUUUGAUUGUAAAGUGAGGAGAGAAAGGUCUGUAAAGGUUGUCUCCUGAGCCUGUCAAAAGGAGAGAAACUGUAAAAGGGCAGUUAGCCUUCACCCAUUGAAGGAAGGCCCCUAGUUGACGUCGGCAACCUCGUCGGUGGAGGAAGCCAAAAGUGGAGUAGGUCAAGGCUGACCGAACCACUCUAAAUCUCUGGUUUGCGUUUAUUUUCGAGCACUUUAUCAUUACUGCAAACCUCCUUCAUUGCUACUGCUCUCUGCGCUUUCACGAACAAAUUCUAAGUGCUGUUCUUCCAAAUCUGCAUUCAGACGUAAAUUCGUAUUUUCGUACAUUACAGUUUACGUUUACGUUUGAUUCUGCAGAACUGUCUUCCGUGCUUUUACGAACGAGUUUCUUUGCAGUUUACGCUUACAUUUUAAUCCUAUUAAUAACUGCAAUCUGUCCUCUAUGAUCUUACGAACGAGUUUCAACAUUUAGACGCAAAACUGCAUUCAGACGUAAAUCGGCUUUUCUCGCUCAAUCGUCAGAUUUCAGUUCACGUUUACGUCUUGAUUUCAACUGCAUACUGCCUUCUGCGAGUAUACAAACAAGUUUCAAAGUUUAGACGUAAAUCUGCGUUUAGACGUAAAUCUGCGUUUAGACGUAAAACUACGUUUAGACGUAAAUCUGCGUUUAGACGUAAAACUGCGUUUAGACGUAAAACUGCGUUUAGACGUAAAACUGCGUUUAGACGUAAAUCUGCGUUUAGACGUAAAUCUGCGUUUAGACGUAAAUCUGCGUUUAGACGUAAAUCUGAGUUUAGACGCAAAACUGCACUUAGACGCAAAACUGCGCUUAGAUGCAAAACUGCGCUUAGAUGCAAAACUGCGCUUAGACGCAAAACUGCGCUUAAACGCAAUCUGCGCUUAGACGCAAACUGCACUUAGAUACAAACUGAGAAUUUGCUUUUGCAUCAUAAUAGUUUUUGAACGAACGCAGCUUUUGGUUCUUAAUCGCUGUAAGAUUUCCGCUGCACUAAUUCACCCCCCCCCCUCUUAGUGCUCUCGAUCCUA
rnacentral:lncRNA from 1 species